UACAGAGGGUGCGAGCGUUGUUCGGAAUUACUGGGCGUAAAGCGUGCGCAGGCGGCCCUUUAAGUCUGACGGUGAAAUGCCGGGGCUCAACCCCGUGCCCGCCGCGGAUACUGGAGGGCUGGAGACACGUAGAGGCAAGCGGAAUUCCGGGUGUAGCGGUGGAAUGCGUAGAGAUCCGGAAGAACACCGGAGGCGAAGGCGGCUUGCUGGGCGUAGUCUGACGCUGAGGCGCGAAAGCGUGGGGAGCGAACAGG
rnacentral:rRNA from 1 species